rnacentral:sRNA from 1 species
GAGCAUCGUAGCUACGACGCGCGGCAGC